rnacentral:tRNA from 1 species
GCUGCCGUACACGGUGGUGAUGGGCGUGCUGGGCUGGUACGGGGUCAGUUACUGGCUGUGAAGGAUCAACCGUUCAAUGGCUUCGGCAGCACC